AAGUCGAACGAAGUAUGUUUUUUCGGAAUGUACUUAGUGGCGGACGGGUGAGUAACGCGUGAAUAAUCUGCCCCAUACAGGGGGAUAGCCUCGGGAAACCGGGAUUAAAACCGCAUGAUGCUUUUUAUCGCAUGGUAGAGAAGUCAAAUCGAAUAAGAGGUAUGGGAUGAGUUCGCGUCUGAUUAGCUGGUUGGCGGGGUAAGAGCCCACCAAGGCGACGAUCAGUAGCCGGCCUGAGAGGGUGACCGGCCACACUGGGACUGAGACACGGCCCAGACUCC
rnacentral:rRNA from 1 species